CCUACGGGAGGCAGCAGUGAGGAAUAUUGGUCAAUGGGCGCAAGCCUGAACCAGCCAAGUCGCGUGAGGGAUUAAGGCCCUGCGGGUCGUAAACCUCUUUUGCCGGGGAGCAGUGGUCCGGACGCGUCCGGACCGGGAGAGUACCCGGAGAAAAAGCAUCGGCAAACCCCGUGCCAGCAGCCGCGGUAAUACGGAGGAUGCGAGCGUUAUCCGGAGUUAUUGGGUUUAAGGGGUGCGUGCGGGGGCAUUUAGGACGGCGGUAAAAUGUCGGGGUUCAACCCCGGCCUGCCGUCGGAACUGGGUGCCUUGAGUGGGCGAGAGGUAUGCGGAAUGCGUGGUGUAGCGGUGAAAUGCAUAGAUAUCACGCAGAACCCCGAUUGCGAAGGCAGCAUACCGGCGCCCUACUGACGCUGAGGCACGAAAGUGCGGGUAUCGAACAGGAUUAGAUACCCGAGUAGUC
rnacentral:rRNA from 1 species